AUUGAACGCUGGCGGCAGGCCUAACACAUGCAAGUCGAACGAGUGGCGGACGGGUGAGUAAUGUCUGGGAAACUGCCCGAUGGAGGGGGAUAACUACUGGGAACGGUAGCUAAUACCGCAUACCAUCGGAUGUGCCCAGGUGGGAUUAGCUAGUAGGGGGGGUAAAGGCUUACCAAGGCGACGAUCCCUACCUGGUCUGAGAGGAUGAUCAGCCACACUGGAACUGAGACACGGUCCAGACGCCUACGGGAGGCAGCAGUGGGGAAUAUUGGACAAUGGGCGAAAGCCUGAUGCAGCCAUGCCGCGUGUAUGAAGAAGGCCUUCGGGUUGUAAAGUACUUUAAGUGGGGAGGCGUUACUCGCAGAAGAAGCACCGGCUAACUCCGUGCCAGCAGCCGCGGUAAUAC
rnacentral:rRNA from 1 species